CUGCCCACCCAGAGGAGCGGCGGGCCCUAAGGGUCCGCCGGGGACCUGCCAGCUCCGCGCUCGCGGCUCCUGGACAGCCCCGGGACUCUGCCAGGUGGAUGUUGUGCAUAGCCGGAGCCAAGUUGAAGCCUACGUUAGAGCGAUGAAGCAGACUCACAGUCGUUAAGAAAUUUCUUCAGAUUUCUCGCUUAACUACGAAGAAGACUAUGCGAAAUAUGUAUUUCCGAUAAGAUUAAAACUUAAAGGAGUUUGAGUGUUUAUUGACUAAAAUAGAUUACUCCAAAGUGUCUAUUGUGUAAAUUAGAUUCCUGAAUGUAAUGAACACAGCCGAAUGGCAUUUUUGAUAAAUUGGUCUACCCUGUUUUAGUAAAAAUAGCUCCCUUUUACCAUAAUUUGAUUCCUGUGCUUACUGUAAAACCCGUUGUGGAGUCUUAAGAGACAAUCCUUAAUUUUUUUUUCUUGUCUACCUAAAUGUGACAUUCCAGCUUAACACCAAUGCUAUUUCUUUUUUAAGCACCCUGGCAAAACUGCCUGGAAGAUGGAUUUGGUUUCUAGGGAGUUGUUAGAUUUUAUGAACUCUCUGACACCCCGACUCCCUUAGUGACUAACUGCUUCUUCAUGGUACAUGAGGACGUUUAACUGUGUAACUUUAGGUUUCAGUUUAAAGUUUCCCUGUGAGUUCAUGUGAAUGUCCUUUCAGGUGUUGAUCUUGAAUUUAAAAACCUUUAUCUGAGCAUCGUUCUCUUUACUGAGCAUCCAUUGGCUUUUCCUGGUAGAUGACAAUUUGGCCUUAGAUGAUUUCCCAUUGCCGCUUCAUCGCAUGUUUGAAAACCUUCAGUUGACUAUGGAAUGCCAGAGUUCCAGUAUAAGGCUAAACUGGUUCUUUCUCUGGGCCCUGAAGAGGCCUUUUGAGUUGUUAUCUAGUUUAGAGUCAUCUCUAUUCCCCUAGACAGUAAGCGAGCCAGAGGGACUGCAGUCUGAGAAGAGACAAUUCAUUAGUCCCUGACUCUUCUCAUCUUUCCAGAACCCCUUACACUGAGAUGGGGUUGUGGCCUUGCUACCUGAGGGUAAAGAGGCUGGGUCCCCGAGGGUCCAGGUGAGAUAAGGCCCCUCCCACAACUCAGGGAGUGGGGGCUGAGCUCUUGUCCCUCAUAGGACUUGAAGUGAGUGCCCAGGAAGGGAGUUUCUGAAGAUUGAGCUCUAUUUUGUUUCCUUUUUAGUCCCAAAGUCUUGUGGUAUAGAAGUUUCAGCACUCUGGCGUUGCUAAGACUAGUUGGACAAGUUUUUAUCCUAUCCCAGACUUGUAAAAAACAGGCUUUUUUUUUUAAAUAAGAAAAACACCAUUGUAUAAAUUUGCCUUUUAAAUACACAUUUGGAAAGAGAAUACUUUCUCAAACAAGCUCAUAUAACUCUGUAUGUUGGGGUAGCUUUUUGCCAGUGACUGGCUUCCCUUUGGGGGCAUUAUUCCUAUGUGGUGGCUAGUGUUCCCCUUUAAGGAACCUCUGCAGAAGUAACCUCUAAACGUUUUCCUCUUUUUCAAACUAAGAGAACAAUUUCAUUUUUGCUGCAAGUCUAUUUUCUGGUGGCUUUUAUUUUGUUUUCUCCUGUUAUGGAAGUAUGUCUGUGAACAGUCCAGGACUGUUCUCUGUACGAAGUACAUUACUUUGAUUAAAAUGUGUAUCUCAUCUAGGACCCUUUAUAAAAUAAUGAGUAAACAAAUGGAAGGGUUCCAUACAACUGCUGUCUUUGUUUUCUUGAUUCUCUUAAUAUCAGCAUCUUUGAGAUUGGGUGUGUGGAGGGGGUCAUUGUCAAUUGAUUAAAGUUUUUUUUCUCUGUAUGAAACUGUGUGUAGGGUUGGUUUUUUUUUUCUGGUUUGCUUUUUUUUUUUUUUAAAAGGUGUCCAUCAGUGAAGAAGUUGAGUUACGCAGCACCUCCUGAUACAGUCGGGUCUAUAGAGGCCCCUUUCACCUCCUUCACCAAUUUCACCCAUCUUCUGCCAGUAGUUCGUUAAGUGAGAAAGUUGGAAAGGGAAAGGGACAGACUGCCAGCCCCCUUAGGAAUUACUCUCUCCUAAUCCACGGAGCUAACCUUAAAUAUGCUGUCUGGUGAGCUAAUUGAGCCCAAAACCUUUAUGGCUGUUGAAAAAGUCCUGCCCUGUUGUAUGCAAUUCAGAUGAACCCACCAGAACCCACCAGGAUUUAUGCGGUUGGGCGAAGUCUGGCUGUGCAUUAGCAACAGGCCAUGCCUCAGGGUCCACCCGUCCCCCACCUUUCCGGGUCUACUUGUAGCAGUCAGCAAUCUAAACUGCUCCUGAGCCUGUGCUCACAUUCUCUGUCUUAGGAGAGGAAGCAAUGUUCAAAGUAGAAAAUUCCAUGUGUAUUUCAGCUCAUUUAUAAAAAGCACAAGGAAUAUCUGCAGUGAAACCAAGGAAGGACAAAUUUGUUAGAAGAAAAGUUGUACAUUUUGAGAAAGAGGAAUUUAUCGUAUAAAAUCCUACAGAGCUAGGCCAAAUUCCUGCCUGUGCUUCCGUUUUACAGUUCAUACAUUUGGCCUCAUGUAAAUUUCACAUAUUUAAAAGACAGGUGUAUCUGAUGGACUGUAACACAAAAGCUAACUAAAAGUAACUAUCGAUGGUUAUUCUGAUAUAUAGGAUCAUAUUUUAUUUUAGAAAUUAUUUAAAAACCAAUUUAAAACUACUUAACGUAUUCUAUAUAUAUUAUAUAAUAUAAUAUAUAUAUAUAAAGUAGCGUUCCCUAUGAAAGGUCUGAUUUUUACAAGUAAUUGUCAAAAUUAGAAAUUCAUGUAUUUCACCAUAUUGUUUUGUCUGAAGUUCUGCAUUAUGGCUGUGGAGAGAUAGUUUUGGUUUCAGCUGAAAUUCCCCUGCCUCUGAUUGUUUAAACCAGACCCUUAAUCUUAUUUUAACAUACUUAAAAUGUUCACAAAACCCGGAAGAAUUGUUUUGUAUAAGUAGCAAGUGAAUGUAGUUUAAACACUCAAGCAAUUCUGGUAUCUAAUUGGAAACAGGUGGAAUUCUUGGAAUCCUGCGUUUGAAUCUUAUUAUAGGAAAGCAUAGAGACACUUUUUACCAUUCAUUUGUCCAUGCUGUUUGAAGAGGGGCCCCAUGACCUCUCCUUGUGCCCCGCUACUGUUUACCUGGAUGUUCCAGCCGAGCUAGGCAUUUUAGGAGUUAGAUGCCUGUAUGCUUGGACACCUGAGAGAACUGUGCGUGUGUGGAUCACAGAGUGAAAAAGGAACUUUAGUGGCAUAAUUAGACCAGCGAUUUAAUAUCUGUAUUGUAUAAUUAAUACAGCAAAGAAAUUGUGAAUUCAUUUGUGAUUCCUGAUUUAAUAAACAUUUGUUGACAUGA